UAACACUAGCUAACGAACGUUAGCACGCAAGCUAACCGGUUUCAUCACUUCAUAGUGAGUGAACGAACAAGAGGGGUGUAAAUAAAUGACUGGCAGCUCUUUAUAUCCUUAGUUUUUAGGUUCAUCAUCAGUAUUUUGGAAAUUGACGCCUGUGUUUGCCACAUAAGUCGCUGUUAAUGCUAAAUGUCGGUGAAAGGGACGAAGCCGUUCAGCUUGUUGUCGGGUUUUCCCGCCAGAGUGAAGUUCCUCGACCUGUAGAUGGAAAUGAAGAGGCAGCAGCUCCGUCGGAGGCCAGUCCGAUGAGAUGUUUACCAGGGAGAGAGGGAGAAGCUGAAGGAGGCUGACAGGACGGAAGGAGCAGGUCUGGUGGAGUGUUUACAGCACCUGCCCUUCGUUUCUUGAUGGAUGGACCAGUUGAAAUGCUCCAAAAAUGACUUGGAAUAAAG